ACUUCUCUUUCAAAGAUGGACUGGGGAAAGACAUUAAGUUCGGAGCAGCCCAAGGCUGCGGAUCUAGCCUUUCUCCCUCCGGUCUCCAGACCCACGCAGGUUAAGGCAGCCAAGCAGAGACAGCGGAGCCCCGGUGCGUGGUUCAGGCCUGGUCAACAGGUAGGAGGGCCAGACUGGGGGCCAGGCACAGAGGAGGGCAGGCCCGCCCGCACCGGCGUCCAGGGUCCCGGGUUCCGGGUCCCGGGACUGGAGGAGGUCGCCGGCAGCCCGCCCUUCCAGAGGCUUGAGAUUGGGUGGACGAGACCUGAAGAUCCUCUCGGUCUGGACCCCGACUUUCGAUCUGCUUAGAGACCUAAGCCGCGAGCCUUUGCCCACACGGAGAAACGUACUAUCUAAUAUCUAACAACCCUGUACUGCAGUGUCUGGAGGUUGCGGGAAGGAGACAGUGUCUCCCUUUGGGAAAACUACUGAGGACUUCUGUAUAUCCUACUUCUUCUGGACUCCAUAAGUUACAGGACCGAAGGAAACUGAGAAAUAGAGAAAAGGUGCCGCUUGCCCCUUUAACUCCAGAAAAGGGUGGCUGCAGAUGGAGCAGCUUGGACUUUAUUUUUUACGUUGCGCGAAGCCCGCCGGCAGCGGCUUAUGCCAAUUGAUUUUCCCAGCUCCCAGCCCUGGAUGUCUAGCUAUCUCCAGGACAGUUUGUUUUUUUCUUUUUCUGUCUUUCUUUCUUUCCUUCAAUGUAUCAGAAGACCUGAAGCUCGCUGCCCGCGAGUUUCCUCCGAGUUCCCAGGUCAGCGGCGUUUGCGCUCCUCUCCCCCUCCUUUUCCCAGCCCGUUGCGCUUAAGUUCUUGAGUCUGGGGAGCCGGUUCAGUAACUCUGAAUUCAUUUUUAAGUGGCGUGCCCUGUUCCCCACCUUUUAACAAGAGGUGCACUUUAACACGCGAACCAGUAACACGAUCUACACGUUUACAAAUCGGCAAUGAAUUAAAACAACAACAGAAAAGCUUCAUGGAAAAAGAAAGUUGCUGAGACAAAGGAAAACCCACUCCCUUGGAGGAGCAUGACCUUUUCCUGUAAUUCUUCCCACUGCUGUUGUUGAGCUCCUUGGAUCCUGGCUCCUGGACACCAUCAUCAAGAAGACUUUAUGGAUGGGCUGUCCACCCACUGAGAGAAGAGGAGCAUCAGCUACAGUUUCUCUCUAGAUUGCCUUCUUCAUUUUGAGUAAUGACUGUCAGCAGGGUCAGAUUAAACACAAAACAACUGGACAAUUGCUUGGAGGACUAAACUAUAAGGGCACUAACAUGUCAAUAGUAGGCUAACACAUCCAUGGAAAAUAUAUUUACCAGCUCUUCUCUCAGGGAGGAUUCUGUGUGGGGUUGGAAGUAAUGAUUUGUUAAAUUCCUUAGGGGUAGAAAGUAGGGCAUAAUCAGAAUAUAGAGGAAUAUGCUGUUUGACUUCAGGGUUUCUGUUUUUCUUACUAGGAUAUAUAAAACAGGGACUCUAGCUAGAUUGUUUAUGACCACAGAGGGUAGGCUGAGUGCUCCCAUGAUCUUCCUGCUUGGUUCUUGCCCAUACAGAGGUCAGCCUUUCCUCUAAUAAAGAUUGAACAAGUAGUGGUCUGAGGGAGACACCAAUUCAUUACCCUACAUGUCUCUUCUCUGCACUCCAGGGCUUUGAUAAUAAAGACACUGGCAGACUAUCUAUCUUCCAUUUCUAUAAUGUGAGCCCUUAGGGAGUCUUCGUUCACUUGGGGGUGAGGGUCAUUGCUCACAGAGUAGUUCAAGUCAAAUGGAACUUGAACUCUUUGCCUAUGGGCCUGGUGGUCAGACUCUGUGUUGAGUUCAUUAGAUUAUUGGAGACACAAGGUAGAGCUGGAUGCUUCAAAAAUAUUUGGCUAAAGGAUGACAUUGCUGGUUAUUUGUAGAUAAAGCCAUGAUGGAACCUGCUUGGAAUCAUGAAAUAUGGAACUGGUGGUCAUGUUUAAAAAUACAACUAAUAGUUAAGUACCUACUGGACACUGUAGAGACUUAGGGGCUAGACAGACAUGGUUCCUGCCCCCUUGGAGCUUACACUGUAGCUUCCCCUUAGGUAUGAAGAACAGUGGCUACAACUAACAAAUGGCCACAAAGAUAUAAUUGAGCCAGUGUUCCAAUUAUUAGGGUAAUUCCUAUUUCCUUAAUCAUUCCUAUUGACCAUGUUCUAUAAGCCUGCAUUCUAUAAAUGGCGUAUGACCAUGGGCUGUUUCCCCCCAGCAAGUUGUACAAAGUUCUGUGGUACCAGGGAAAGGGCUUAAGGUUAGCAGGGCCUCUGCGGAAGGACAUAUGAAGUGACUUGGGUUAGGAAACAGGAAGGGAUAGGAUUCAAGAACAGCUAUUGCUUCUGUUCUAUAUAGGAAACUGCAGCGUGAAAAAUGCUGGGCUGGGAAUUUUGAGACCUGGGUUUUAGUUUGUGUUCUAAUACUAACAAGCUAUGUGACUGUGGGUAAGUCAUUUCACAUUCCAUUUGGAUGCCUCUUGAGUGACUCCAGGCCUCUCCAGCUCUAAAACAUUAAGAUCAGGCCCUACGCUACAGCUGGCCAGUGUGUAAUUCUUCUGUUUCUAUGCUGUUAGGUCAAAUAGAUCUUCAAUAGUUACUUGAUUGUUAUUACUUUUUUCUGAAGUGGGUGUUUUAUCAAUGUUUUAGGAUACAGUGAGUCUGCUUCUCCCCUUUGGAGUUAGGAAGGUUGUAGGAAUAUACACUGUAGAGCAUAUGGGAGCUUUAUCCCCUCCUUUUUUCCCCGCUACCUUUCUCCCUCUCCUUCCCUUCAUCACAUUUCUAUUGAGCAUAUGCCAUUGCCGUGUACCAGGUGUGUGCUAGGUUUGGAGAUACAAGGUAAACCUGAGACUUUCCCAGUCUCCAGGAGACAAAACCCUAAUUUCUUUCAUCUGCUGUCUUUCUCUUUGGAAAGAAUCAACGAUAUCCCAGGGGAAUGUGCCCAUGUCCCAGGGUAACCAACUACAGACAGAUGCCCCAUUCUACUCAAGCAACUUUUAGAGUGCCUUGAGAUACACAUCAGAUAAUUAUGCAGGGCCAGGCAUGGUGCUGCACACUUGUAAUCACAGCACUUUGGGAGGCCGAGGCAGCAGAUUGCUUGAGCCCAGGAAUUCAAGUGUAGCCUAGGGAACAUGGCAAAACCCCAGCUCUACAAAAAAAUACACAAAUUAGCUGCGUGUGGUGGCCUAUGACAGGAGGCUGAGAUGGGAGGAUUGCUUGAGCCUGUGAGGUCGAGGCUGCAGUGAGCCGAGAUCAUGCCAUUACUCCAGCCUGGGUGACAUAGGGAGACCCUGUCUUGAAAAAAAAAAAAAAAAGAUAAUUAUUCAGCCCUAGAGUCAUUGUGAAAAGAUCUAUCUUCAGAUAUAAGGAAGAAACAAUCUUUUAUUUCUUAGGAUAAAUCUGUAGAAGGACCUCCAGACAGUGAAGGCCACUGACUACUUUAUACUCUGUAAGCCAUCCCUCCCUGGUAGGAAGGACUAUUUCCAAUCUUACAGAGUACCUCUCAGCAAAUAGACGUUUUCACAUAUACUGUGAUUCAUACAUCCCUAUGGCUGGUGACCUCUUUAAAAAGGAAAGGAAAAAGCCUAAUCAAACAAAAAGAUGCUGCUAGUAAUUCUUACCCUAUUGUGAAUCCUAUAUAAGCAAAUUUGUAUCUUUGUUUUUUCCUACAUUAGCAGAUCUAUUUGAUGUAUAUCUCUGAGUGCAGAAAAUAUUUUAUGGAAAAAUCAAUAUAUGGAAUUUCAAAUUCAGAAUUGCUGAUACACACUAUUUGGUUUCACAAUUUUAUCCUAGGAAAUAGUAUUAGAGAUUUCAAUUUCUGGCUUAAAUGGUAGAAUUAAUUACUCUUAACUCUUAAUUUUACUUCUGAGUUGAGGUCAAGGAACAGGCAGACACCUGCAGUUAACGUCUAUACCUCUCCAUGGCCAAGAGUUUUAAUUUUCUCGUCUUCAAUUUUGUAGAUGUUCAUCAUUACUAAAUGGAUUGAUUAGUAUUUUAUCUCCUCUCCUUGUCCUUACUUUCCCUCUGGUAAAUAUGUUAUAAACAGUGUAAGGCUCCUAAGAUAGAGUAGCUGGUAGGACUUAGAAGAGAAACAAAGGGCACUGAUAACUCACAUAAAUGGAAAAUUGGCUCUGGAAUAACUGACAACAUAUUCAAGUAUUUUAGUGCAGUGUCACUCUCAUUAAGAAGAAGAGAAUCAGUAAAUCUAUGUGACUCUAAACAUUCUAAUGAAAAAAGGAAUAUUCUGCCAAUUAUCUCACAUUUCUAAAUAUCUGGAUAUUGGCCAUUGUAAAGACAAAACAUACAGAUGAUGGACUUGUCUUUCCACCUCUCAUUUGCAUGGUUUGGAGCAUUGUACCUCCAGCCAUAGACUCUAAGGCAAUUUAUAUUUGCUUCCUCUUCCCUCUUGAGAGAAAACGAAAAUCUUAUUUUUCCAAGCAAUUAAAACUCUUCUGCUUCAGCUAGGAUGAAAGAAUUAGGAGUUCUGUCUCCUUGUAUCUAAUUGCAUGUUUCAUCUUUCUUGUUUUAAUGAUUGACAGAAAACUAAUAAACUGAGACAUCUUUGAAUCCAGGUUGAAUGUACUCUCUUGGUGGCCCCAUUGCUAAUUUGUUUGACUAUUUUGCAGGAUUUCUUACUCUGUAAUGGAAAGGUUUAUUAAAUAUGAGGGGUGCAAAGCUUUCUGAAUACUAAUGAACUUAUUUGCCAAAAUUUAAAUGUUCUUCUUGUCAGUGAAUGUCUGUCUCUCUUAACAGGAUCCAAAUUGAAUAAUGAAGAAAAUUAGACUCUAUUGUACCCUCAGGAGAAAUCGUGGUGAAUCGUAAUAGAAUACAGAGGGGGAAAGGGGUCACAUUUUAGAAAAAAAGAGUAGAUAAUUUGGAUUAUUAAAAAAGGGAUUAACUCAGGAAAACUCUGUUCUUUUCAAAGAAACGUACUCAUAGUCAUUCAAUGAGCAGGAUUUCCCACUGCACAAGCAUCUAUACCUUUGGCCAGUGUAGAAAGAGAGUAAGGUCAUAAUCAUAUGGAGAUGCAUGCUAGGUUUCAGUAGUUACAAUUUACUAAUCUCAUUCCCAUAUAAGGCCUUUAUAUGCCUGUAAUGGAAUGGGAAAAUCAAUAAGCUUUGAAAAGGAACACUAUUCUUCAGAGAAGUUCAAUGGGAGAUAGUUGAGUUGGGGAAAUUGCCCCAGUUCUUCCUUUAAGCAUGAAAUGAGGCUGUCCCUAUGUAUGUUUACUUCCAUUGCCUUGGUGUUAUCACUGAUAAAGUCAAUGAUCAUGAUGCCUUUGCCUUGGCAGCACCUGGGGGGCACUGAAGGAACCAAGUAGCUGUACUCAUGGCCAGGAAGGCAGGCUGCCAGAACUUCAGCAGCCACACAAGUGGCCAAACAUGGUCAGGAACGAAAGUAGUGUGUGUAUGGAGUGAAAUGAAAUGAUGAGAGGAAAGUGAAGGAUGAUAUAAAGAUGGGGCUGUCCAAAGAUGGGAGUUCAUCCCUGUCCUGCACUUGAAAUAGGAAGGAAAGAACUGGAGAAGGAUUAGGUGAGGAAGGAUCCUGAAAUAGAGAAAAUAAAGGGAAGACUGCAUGCCUGCAGUGUUUGCUAAAAUUAAUUCGCCUGAGAUUUCAGGAGGAGCAAAGAAAGAUCAAGAGAAAGGGAAAACAGCCUCAAAGCCUGUGAAGGUUGAAAAACAAAAUAUAAACAAAAAAUUUUUAAAGCUAAGAUUAUGCUCUUCUAAGAAAAGAGGCUGGACACUAACAGAAAGCUUGAUGACAGCAGGAUUUGUAUUUAGCGGUUUAUUUAGAUCCCUAAGAAAAAAGGCUUAUGUGACAUAGAUUCAUAAGACACAAAUGUGUCCUUGGCUGACCAUACUAGGCUUCACUCCCAAAGGAGAAAAAGAAUGGUCGGCGCAUCUCAGAUUAACACCAACCAACUGUGCAAUAUUUCAUUUUAGAAAGCGUUUCCUUGUAUUAUCCAUGAUUAAAUAAAAAGAGACCUAGUGUAUUUGAUUGCUUCUGUGGCAAGGCUUGAGAAUUACAAACCUAGGUUUCCCUCUGGGAAUGAUCAUUGGAUUUUUAAAAUUAAGUAAGUGGAAGGAGAUUAAGAUUUAUUUCCAUCAUUUCAAAUCAUGAUCUGCACCUUUGGAAACAAAAAGGAAGUUGGAAAGUGGGAAGGUGAGGUAGGUGUGCAAGAAUGGGGAGAAAGAUGCUGCAAGCCAAAUAAGACUGUAUAAUUUCUGAGAAAAUUAAAUGAACAAUAGAGUUUGAAGGAUAAGUGGGUAAUGAGGAAUAUGAGAUAAUAAGAUAUUAAAAAAUAGCAAAUUACUUGGGAAAGUGAGGAUGAAUGAUGGUAGAUAGUUAAGGGAUUUGGGAUGGCAAGGAAGGGAAGAGAUGACUAGGGUGGGAAACAAAACAUGAUUAAUGGCUGUAAAAGGGCAAGUUUGGACUCUCGAUGGCAUAUCUUCCCAAACUUUGGAGAAUGUGCAGAACUUAGUAAUAAAGAAGGAAAAGAUUAAAAGAGUUCAUGGUUAACAUGAAAUUGUGAGGACAACAGAGGAAGCAAUAAAUGUCAUUAGUCCUCAGGAAUGAAAGCAUUUCUAGAGAAACGUACUAGUCUAUGUUCUUCAUUUAUGAGCAGAAUAGUUUUCAUCUACUUUUUAAUAAAAGGUUAAUGUAUAAAAUGAAUGCUAUUAAAGGAAAGAAAAGCUAAGCAUUAUCAGGAAAGUUGAAGAAAAGAUUGCACCUAGAACAACUGAAGUAAACCAGCAAACCUAUUUUACAGCCUUUUCUAUAAAAUUUUGAAAUUCAUCAUCUUAAUGAAAGAACUGGAAAUAGUUUUUCCAAAUAGAAAUGGGUAAUGAUAAGGGAGGAAGUUUUAACAGUUAGAAAUAUUAUAGAAUGCAUUCUUUUACAUUUUUUCCCCAUAAAAAUGAGAGGAAGCUAAAAAACUUAUGGGUAUAGCUUUAAAUACUUUGGAUAAGAAGAUUUAUAGCAAUGUAAGGUUAUUGUUAGUAGUAGAAAUAACAUUAAUUUUUUAAAAAUAUUAGUAUUUGGAGCAGGACUAAAUACCAGUGAUCAUCCUUUUUGGUUUCUUGUGUUUGUGUAGGAGAUUCCUUUCAGACAGACAGUACCAGACCUCCUUAGGAGGGAAGCUGAUAAAGUAAUUUAGGUGGAAAGGUUUAAUGAGAUAAUGAUGCUAAGGCCAGUUAACAUCUAAUAAGAACAUAAUCAUGAGGGAUGAUAUUGUUGCUUAUUAAUUAUAAUGAUGCAGAGGAAAGAGACAAGGUGGCACUCAUUUAGCAGAGAGUACUCAGGAGUAAGACCGUUAUCCCAAAGGGGAAGUGUUGCAGUCAGAGUUAGAAGUAGGUCAACAUUUAGCAGAGUUUGAAAUUUAUGGCCGUUGGGUUAUACUAGCAACCACAGAACUGAAGGCCAGGCAGGAGGUAACAGAUGCCUUUCUGAUGGUGGCCAGGGAUGGAGUGGAGACUGCUGUGGUUGCUGGGCCAUGCACGGAGGCAGACUCCAGGGUGAGUUUUGGGAGCUGUCUGCUUGCCUUAGAUUCCACAGUGGUCAUUCGUGGGCAGACAGGCAGGUGUCCAGAACUGGACUGGAUGUGCUUCCAGUUCUGUGACCUUCCCCUCCACUCCACUGGGUCGGGUGAGUCAGACCCAAGGAUAGCUAUUCAGUCAGUGUUGGCGCCCAGCUUUGUUGAGGGAGCCCAGAAGAUCCUUUGGUCCUGUUUUUAGAGGCGCAGACCUAACUGUUAUCAGUUGAAUUGCAUUUAUGAUUCCUUGGUAUUAGUCACUAACCACAUUCCGCUUCCUGAAUUCAUUGCGGGUCUGGUCACCUCCAUGUUUGCCUAGGAUGGCAGAAUUGUAGUAUAAAUUUAUUGCAGAUACACUAAUGUCCAUAUUAGUCAGGUGGGCAGGAAUAAAGAAUUCGAGGAAGAAACAGCCAUGUGAAAAAAACAUGGAGCUUUUGGAAAUCUUGUGACUCCUCAAGGGAGGCAUAGAAGCUUGAAACAGAGGACUAGCCUGGGGAAGUUAAUUUGGGGCUGGGUAAGGAAUAUAAAAACUCUACCCCUUAUUCAGCACCUUUUCCCAAUAUGGGUCUCUCUCUGAGUCCUGGAUCCUAGGCUAUUGCUGACUCCUUUCUUGGGUCUUUGGAUGCCACCUCUGCAAUGAUAGGGAGGGGUUUUCUAUACCUUCUUGUAUAGUUAAUUUUAUUAGCUGGAUGAGGAUCACUUCACAGGAUUUUUCUUGUCCUAUAUAAUGACCCCUGAAAUAGAAAGGAAAUAAUAUUCACAUCAUUAGCUUUUUAAAGCAAGUAUAUUUUAUCUUAUUAAAUGUGUGGUUUUAGAGAGGCAAGAAGUGACAAGAAGAUGCUAGACUAGAAGAUGGAAGAUUCAGCUCUAGUCCUGACUCAUGCCUAUCAGCUCUAUCACCUUGGACAAGUCUCAUGCCUUUCAGAGCCUCAGUUUCUACAUUCAUAAAAUGAGGCAUUAUUGAGGGUAAACUUUAUGAUUAAAGAGCCAUGUCCAGCUUUAAAAUUAUGUAUUUAUGCAUAUAUGUUUUUACAGAUCCUACAUCUAUUAAACUGUUAUGGGAGAAUUAAUUGAUAAACCCAUAUGAGAGCAGAUAUUUCCUUAAAUCUGUAGUUCAAAGUGGACAGUUAAGGUCAGAGUUACCAAGGAACCAAUGCCGUAACUAUUGAGUACUAACUAUGUGGCAGGUGCUUCACAGAUGAGGAAAUGAAGAUUUUCCAAAGUUUAAAUAAAUAGUUCAAGAUCAUAUAGUCAAUAAGGAGUAAAGCCAAUGCUCAAACCCAGGCAUCCCUGAAACUGAAACUCAUGACCUUCAUCACCACUGUGUGCAUCUCCCCCUUUUUUAGAACCCAAAUGCUUAUGUCCUAUCACUUAUGGCACCAGCCACCGGAAGUUUUCUUCAGUCAUUAUGGUUCUCAACUGGGAUGCGGGGAGGGAGCAAGACAAGGAGUAGUUUGAAAACUCUUCCCAGUUGAUUCUGAUACACACAUGUCUCUGCCUCUAAAUUCAGCUGCUCUCUUUAAGACAUAACUUGGCCAGAGUCAUUCUAACAUUAUUACCCGAGAGGAUCUUACUUGAGAAUUUUCUGCUAUGUGCAGGUUCAUGUUUCUGUUUUUUCCUGCAUGUCUUCAGAGCAGGUAGAGACAUUGAACACAAUUAUUCCUCUUCCAAAUGGGGAAGUGAAGCAAAGAGAAUUGAAUGAUUCAAUUUUACUCACCUACCCAGUGGUCACAGAACUGACAUCUUCCAUGCCUAAGACUAGCCGCCACAAGACAUUGUCUUUCUAGCCAAUUCAGUUAAUAAUGUAUUUUAUAUAGAAGGAAAAUUUCACUAUUGUUUUUUGUUUUGGAGUUUUCCCAGUAAAUGGAUCAUUUUAGUGACAUUAGUUUUUUUUUUUUUUUUUCCUUUGAGAUAGUCUUAGUUUGUCACCCAGGCUGGAGUGCAGUGGUGUGAUCUCCAUUCACUGCAAACUUCGCCUCCCUGGUUCAAGUGAUUCUGUUGCCUCAGCUUCCCAAAUAGCUGGGAUUACAGCUUCCUGCCACCACUCCUGGCUAAUUUUUGUAUUUUUAGUAGAGAUGGAGUUUCACCAUGUUGGCCAGACUCAAACUCCUGACCUCAAGUGAUUCGCCUACCUCGGCCUCCCAAAGUGCUGGGAUUACAGGUGUGAGCCAUCGUGCCUGGCCUCAUUUGGUCUUAAUUCACAAUUCUUUACAGUCUCAAAUGAUUUCUUUUGGUCUUUUUUUUUAAUUUUGUUUUUUUUCUUUCUUCUUGUUGAAUAAGUUCUUCAUUAUUGCUCAGUAUGGUUGCAUUGAGCUCAUUGUGAAAAAUUAGAAACAUUCAGAUACAGGAUUUAAUUAAAUAAAGACAAUAGAGUGCAGUAUUAUAUUGCCAUUUAAAAGAAUGAGGCAGCUUCAUCUAUGGAGUGGUAUCCACGAUACACAGUUAAAAUUUAAAAAGCAAAGCACAGAACAAUGUGUAUGGUGUGCUACCAUUUGUAUAAAUACAUACAUAUAUGUUUCUAUGCAUUGCCUAACUGAGGAAGGACAUUUAAGGAACUGGUAAUAGUGGUUGUCUCUGGGGAGAAACUGACUGACUCAGAAAUUGGAAGACUAUCUCUGUUGUCCCUUUUAUAUAGUGUAUCAUGUUCAUGUAUUGCCUAUUCAUUUUUUUAAUAAAGAAGAAAGUAGAGCUAUCUUUACUGAGAUGGAAAAAUACAAAAGACAUAUUUUAGGUAUAAAAAGCAAGGUGCGGAAUAGUGUAAAUAGUAUAUGAUAUUUUUGUAAUGUAAUUAUACAUACAUACAUAUAUGCAUGGAUAUACACACACAUAUACACAUCUAUAAGGAGAUGCACCAAAUUGUUAACAGUGGUUCCCCCUAGGGAAAAAGAAAGUGUGUGUGUGUGCACGUGUGUGUGUGUGCACGUGCGUGUGCGCACACAUACUUUCCGUUUUUUAUCCUAUGUAGUUCUAUAUUGUCUGAUUUUGUUUUACACAAGGCACAUAGCAAUUUAUAAUAAAUAACUCAUACAUCUCAAACCCAAAUAAUUGCACUUGAUUUCUGUACACCUAUCAAGAAAAUUCUCCAGCAUUUCUGUCUAGCUUUAUUUUGCUGUUUGCUAUAUCUCAUGGAUUCAUUUCAGAUCUCUUCUUUGACCUUUUCUCUGAAGCUUUGUGAAGUUUCUAUUCCUUUAUCUUUACUCUCAUGCAUUCACCUUUAUCAAUAGGGCCCAGCUAAGGUCAUGACCAUGGAAAUCAUGGUAAUACUACUGGUAGUUCCUCUCUCAGCCACUUCCCUUUUUAAUUAAUCAAGAAUAAUGCAACUAAAAUCUUCCUGAUUCCUACUUUACACACUUCAACUUGGUUAAAUAAAACUCCUGACCUAUUUCAGGAAGAUUUAUUUGCUUUCUGGAUGAUUCCUAUCUACAAAUAAGUUGUAUUUCCAGUCUCAAAGAACAAAAUCCAAGAGAACUUCCUCAACUCCACAUCCCCUUCACAUACCACACCAUUUCUCUGUUUUCCUUUACAGCAAUUCCCCUUGACAACGUUGACUUUACUUUUGUAAAGAUACUUUCUCCCCUCCCAUUCAUCCUUAAACCUAUUCCUCUCAGGCUUUCAGCCCUAACCGCUGUCUCUGAACUCUUGUGUUGAGGUCAUUUAUGGUACUUACUUGCUAAAUCCAGUGGCCAGUUUUCAGUCUCCAUCUUUACCUCCCAACUUGUUGGUCACAGCCAAUCACUUUCUCCUUGCAAUACUUUUUUUUGGUCUUCUGGACACUUCUCUUUCUUGGAUCUUCUUCUGCCUCACAGACUACUCCUGAGUUUCUUCUUUAUCCUCUUUCACCUUGAAAAGUGGGGACUGCUCAGUUCUCGAGCCACCUGCCUUCUUUAUUCAAACCCAUUCUCUCAGUGAGCUCAUCUAGCCUUUGGCUUUGAAUACCAUCUCCAUGCUGAUGUCUUCCAAGUUUUUUUAUGUGCAAACUCCAGCUUGUACCUAAACUAUGGACUUGGUGUCUCCUUCUUCUGUUCUUUUUUUUUUUUUUUUUUUCUGAGACAGAGUUUCGCUCUUUGUUGCCCAGGCUAGAGUGCAGUGGCAUGAUCUUGGCUCACUGCAACUUCUGCCUCCCGGGUUCAAGCAAUUCUCCUGUCUCAGCCUCCUGAGUAGCUGGGAUUACAGGCAUCUGCCUCCACGCCUGGCUAAUUUUUGUAAUUUUAGUAGAGAUGGGGUUUCACCAUGUUAGCCAGGCUGGUCUUGAACCUCAGGUGAUCUACCCCCCUCGGCCUCCAAAAGUGGACUUGGUGUCUUCUUGACACCACUAUUUAGCUUUCUAACAGGCAUCUAAACUUAACAUGUCCAAAACAAGUGGACCCACCUGCCUGCACUAACCUUUCAUAUUUGCUAAAUGACAACUUAAUUGAAGCUCUACUUUGUUCUAACUGCUUUCACUACCUCCACCACUAAAGCCCUGGUCUAAGCCUGAUUAUCACUCACCUAGAUUAGUGCAAUAGCCUCUUAUCAGCUCCCUUGCUUCCAUCUUUUCCCCCUAAAAUCUGUUCACUGAUGGCAGCCAAAGUGGUUCUUUAAAAAAUACAAAUCAGUUUAUGCCAUUGUUUUACUCAAAACCCUCCAAUGGCUCCCAUCUUACUCAGAGUGACAUCCAAAGUCUUCACCAUAGCCUUCAAGGCCUACAUGCUUCCUGUAUUCACUCUACGUCUCUCUGGUCAGCCCCCAUUCUCUCCUCCUUGCUGUUUUCAUGCCACCUUGAUUUCCUUGCUGUUUUUUGAACAUACCAGGCAUGCUCCUACCUCAGGGCCUUUAUACUUGCCAUAGGUGUGGAAUACUCUUUUCUCAAGUAUUCAUGUGGCUCAGUUCUCUCCCUUCAUUCAGCCCAAAUGUUACCUUAUCAGAAACCUUCCAUGAAUAUCCUAUCUAGAACAGCACUCACCCAUUUCACGGUACCCCUUUACCCUGCUUUAUUUUUACCAUCAUCUGACACAUUAUAUAUCUACCUAUUAGUUGUCUAUUAUAAAUAUGAACUGGAAUAUAAGACCUAUAAGAACAGAAAUUUUUUGUUUACUACAUCUUUAACAUUUAGAAGAAUGACGGUUACAAAGAAAGUGCUCAAAAAAAUGUUCCCUGAAUAUUGAAUAAAGAAUGGUGAGAAGUUCACUAAAGCUUCCUUUAGCCUAUUCAAAUUAUAUGGAAUUGCUCUUAAGACAGUUUAUUUCUCCAUCUCAAUUUUCUCAUGUCUUUUAAAAAAAUUUGUUCUAACUUUUUAUUUUGAAAUAAUAGUAGACUUACAAGUAUUUGCAAAAAGAGUAUAUAGAAGUUUCUUCUACUCUUCACCCAGCUUCCCCUAAAUGUAACAUCUUCCCUAUCCUUUCUUUUUAUUAUUUCCUGUUUCCUUUACUUCAGUUUCUUAUUUCUUCUGUAAGUCUUUCUACACAGGCUUUCAGGAACUCCUCCAUCUCUUAUUUCAUGGCCAAAUCAUUGGUGAACUUUAUUCAACACCAACAUCAAAUUUCUUCUCCAAGAUGAUGGUCCUAUCAAGGAAGGGAUAGAUACUUCAAUUAAAUAUGCUUAAUCCUAUUUUUCAUAAUAACAAAUAAAUCAAAAGAAAAGAAAGGCUGUUUCAUCUUUUAAGCUUGUUCUACCGAGAGAUACUAUCUCUUCUGUAAGUUCUGUAUAGCAGUUUGUUUGCUGUGAUUUCUACAGACAGGCAAUUUGUUGACUCUAAUGUGUAUUUUCUCUCUUAUAUUCAACUGUUUAGGAAAAGUUGAAUAAAAACAAAUAUAUGAUUUCUUUUAAAAAAAUUAUUUAUUCUGCUGAGUCUCUGUCAACACACAUUUAUUGUGUACCUACUGUGUGCCAAGCUCCAUCCUAACGAUGGUCUCUUAUUCCCCCAAGAUAAUCUGUGAUGAACAUCACCUUUAAUACAUUGUAAGUUCUGAAAGAUUGAUUGAAAACUCCUUUCUUCCAGGUAAGUAGGUUAUUCUCUAAGGAAAGGGCAUUCAUGUUCAGGUCAUAAGGGCAUGAUUAUGCUAAUAACUGAUCUCCAGGGUUAAAAAAAGAACCCAUGUCCCUUCCAAUAUGCCUGAGAUAUAAGAUAAUCUACCAUUUGACAAGAUAAAGCUCAUCAAUUUCAUCAUCAGUAAAAAGAGGGCAUAACUGGGAUGUCACUAACUGCUACUGUUAAAAUGAGCAUGUAUUAAAAUCCUUAUGGAUGUCCCCUUCAUAUUCAACAUUAAUUAGAAACCUGCCCUAUCUCAGUGUUCUUCUAUAAUCAAUCCCCCUUUCCAGUAUUACUAAGGUAACUGUAAGCCCUGCAUGCCUGAACUGUCCUGGUUUACACCUGUUUUUCCAGCAUAAUUGUUAAUUGCAACCCUGUUCACUGUCUGAUGAAUCUUGGUUUGGACGAUAAAUUAUAUGGUCAACCUAAGUAUUAGAGUCCCUGGGAUAAACAAUCAAGGUGUCAUUCUUAUUUAUUGGUAUUGGUUUGUCACAAGCUGUGAAAACAGUUUUUCUUUUGCUUGUUUCUUCCUGAGUUGUCACGAAGACCUUCACAUAAAAUCACUCUCUCCCAUUAAAGUAAUUAUUGAAGCCCCCUUCAGUAAUGACCAGUUGUUUUAGUUUUCCUCCUCAGAUUCCAAAGACCAAAUGUAGAGAUUAUUUUUACUGGGUCAGGAUCAAAAUUGUUCAGAGGCACUAGCCUUGUAUAGGGAGAAUUUCAUCUAUCUAAUCCACAAGAAUCUUGAAGAGACAUUUUUUCCUUGGUAACAUUAUCUCGAAGAAAGAGUCUGUGAUUGACUACUAAUUUUAGCCCAGAGGAUAGAAAACUCAAAUGUACUCAAUUUCAAUGUAACAUAUGUAUUUGUGGCCUAAGAUACUUAAUGUCUCUAAAGUUGCUACAAGGGAAUGAGUAAUUGAAAGGUGAGUUUGGGUGGCCUUCUUAGACAUAAUCUCUGUUAAAACUAUUUAAUCUGUAUGGUUCACAAGAAAGGUUUUCUUGAGUUGAUGAGUAGAAUGAUAUUUCUGAUAAGAUAUUUCUACAACUAUAUUCUUGGCUGAUGGUAGUAGCAGCACCACCAUUUUUUCAUUAUUUAAUUUUGGAAAAUUGACCACUAUUUUUUUCAUCUAAGGCUGUGUCCUUAUUGUACUGAAGCACCCAAUCAACUCGAUGUAAAAAAAGAAAGUCUUUUAAAUAAUGUGGAAUUAUGAAGACAAAACAACUAGUGAGGAAACUAAAUUGUUUUUAUCUAAUUAUUUUGUAACUCAUCUGUGAACUAUAGAUAAUUCUGCUGGUUUUUGCAUUCCUGAAACAGUUGCUGUGAGAAUAAAUAAUAUACUUAGUAAAACAUUAUGAAUGUUUGAGAUAAUAGAUGCAUAAUGACUUCAUCCUUGUUUGUAGCUUGCUUGAAAAAUUAAAUUGAAUGAAACAGAGU
rnacentral:lncRNA from 1 species